UUGAGAUAUAGUUUUUCAUAUGUGACGUAAUUUUUCUGCUGUUUCAGAAAUUUCAUAUAUUCAAAUGUGACGUAAUUUUUAAUGCCUUUUCACCAUCGUAUGUGACGUCAUUUUCAUAAUUUACUGCGUUGAGGCCUGGACUGAGUCGGGUGUGUCUUUUCUGUGUUGGUCAUUCAUUAUCUAUUCGUGUUUGUUUUAUGUAAUGAGUU
rnacentral:lncRNA from 1 species